rnacentral:lncRNA from 1 species
GAAUAUUACUACAUUACAUGGAUGUAAGAUGCAGUUGAGCAAACCGGCUAGCACGGUUAAGAGAGCGCACGAGACAACUCGUGUGAUUGUUUUAUUUUUAUGCACCUCAUGGAGAGACAACAUCUUUUUGUAACGUUUCAUUUUCAUUACAAUAUAACCAUGCUUACCGUUAAUAUAAGCACCUAUAGUGCUGCAUUACAUGUUUGUUUGCACGUUGUUUCAUUCAGAAGACAGAAUGGAGAUGCACUCCCGCGCAGCUAACUCGACACGCGCAUCCCACAAAGGCUAACUCUACAAGCGUGCUCUGCAACUGCACUGCCUGCUCAUAAACAGGAAAAGGUUUUCAAGUGUCAGGAUGCACAAGAAUGGAAAAGAGAUGUUGCAGUUUCCUGCAGAGGGCAGCAUGAGACCACAACUUGGGUGUGCUCAGGCUAACUCGGCACAUCUCUCAUACAGCAUGUAUUGUAUGAGAUCCCUUACUCAACAACAGCACAGCAGUCUUGCUUCAUAUAAAGUGCACAAGCAUUGAUAUGUUCUUGCAGUAAAAGUCAUAAGAAUUACUACCAGGGUUGUGCAAAAUUCAGUACUGAGGAAUCUAUCUGUCCAUCUGCCUGUCCAUCUGCCCAUCCAUCCAUCUAAUUUUAAAUAAGUCUUGUUUUAAAAAAUGCUUUUCAAGGUAAAAAAAAAUUAAAACAGUUAAGUUGAUUUCUUUGAAGUCCAUCCAUCCAUCCAUCCAUCCAUCCAUCUAUCUAUCUAUCUAUCUAUCUAGUCUGUCAC